AGUGAACGCUGGCGGCAGGCCUAAUACAUGCAAGUCGAACGGCAGCACAGCAGAGCUUGCUCUGUGGGUGGCGAGUGGCGGACGGGUGAGGAAUACAUGGGAAUCUGCCCAGUCGUGGGGGAUAACGUAGGGAAACUUACGCUAAUACCGCAUGCGCCCUUCGGGGGAAAGCCGGGGACCUUCGGGCCUGGCGCGAUUGGAUGAGCCCAUGUCGGAUUAGCUAGUUGGCGGGGUAAUGGCCCACCAAGGCGACGAUCCGUAGCUGGUCUGAGAGGAUGAUCAGCCACACUGGAACUGAGACACGGUCCAGACUCCUACGGGAGGCAGCAGUAGGGAAUAUUGGACAAUGGGCGCAAGCCUGAUCCAGCCAUGCCGCGUGAGUGAAGAAGGCCCUCGGGUUGUAAAGCUCUUUUGUCCGGAAAGAAAAGCGCCGGGUUAAUACCCUGGUGUCCUGACGGUACCGGAAGAAUAAGCACCGGCUAACUUCGUGCCAGCAGCCGCGGUAAU
rnacentral:rRNA from 1 species